UGUGAAACCAUUUUGCCGGUGAGAAAACCAAACAAAGUAUUUAUUUGAAACACGAUUUCCUUCCUGCUGUUCAAGAAUAAGCUUUCCGGUGGCCUCUUCUAAUACGUCACUUCCACUCUCACACUGCCCAUACGUAUUUCUCUCUGACUCCUGGUGGGUUGCAGAGGAGCCAAAGCCUAUUCCAGCAAGCAAUGGG